rnacentral:rRNA from 1 species
AGAGUUUGAUCCUGGCUCAGGAUGAACGCUAGCGGCAGGCUUAAUACAUGCAAGUCGAGGGGCAGCACGAAUAGCAAUAUUUGGUGGCGACCGGCGCACGGGUGCGUAACACGUAUACAAUCUACCUUCAACAGGGGGAUAGCCUUUCGAAAGAGAGAUUAAUACCCCGUAAUAUAUUUAACGGCAUCGUUGAAUAUUGAAAGUUCCGACGGUUGAAGAUGAGUAUGCGUCUGAUUAGCUAGUUGGUGAGGUAACGGCUCACCAAGGCGACGAUCAGUAGGGGAUCUGAGAGGACUAACC